GCCGGCCUAGCUCAAUUGGUAGAGCAACUGACUUGUAAUCAGUAGGUUGGGGGUUCAAGUCCACUGGCCGGCACCA
rnacentral:tRNA from 1 species